rnacentral:rRNA from 1 species
UACAGAGGUCUCAAGCGUUGUUCGGAUUCAUUGGGCGUAAAGGGUGCGUAGGCGGCGCGGUAAGUCGGGUGUGAAAUCUCGGGGCUUAACUCCGAAACUGCAUUCGAUACUGCCGUGCUUGAGGACUGGAGAGGAGACUGGAAUUUACGGUGUAGCGGUGAAAUGCGUAGAUAUCGUAAGGGAAGACCAGUGGCGAAGGCGGGU